AAGACCUUGCGCUUUUGGAGCGGCCGAUGCCUGAUUAGCUUGUUGGUAAGGUAAAAGCUUACCAAGGCUUCGAUCAGUAGCUGGUCUGAGAGGACGACCAGCCACACUGGGACUGAGACACGGCCCAGACCCCUACGGGAGGCAGCAGUGGGGAAUUUUGGACAAUGGGGGCAACCCUGAUCCAGCCAUGCCGCGUGAGUGAAGAAGGCCUUCGAGUUGUAAAGCUCUUUCAGCCGGAACGAAACGGUUACGGUUAAUACCCGUGAUUACUGACGGUACCGGAAGAAGAAGCACCGGCUAACUACGUGCCAGCAGCCGCGGUAAUACGUAGGGUGCGAGCGUUAAUCGGAAUUACUGGGCGUAAAGCGUGCGCAGGUGGUUUUGUAAGUCAGAUGUGAAAUCCCCGGGCUUAACCUGGGAACU
rnacentral:rRNA from 1 species